AUGACCCUUCGGGGGAUAGACUAGUGNCAGCGGCGGACGGGUGAGUAACGCGUAAUAACCUGCCAUGACAGGAGGAUAGCCAUCGGAAACGGUGAUUAAUACUUGAUGAGGCUACAGAUUCGCAUGAAUCAGUAGUUAAAGAAUUUUGGUGUAUGAUGGAUUUGCGUUUGAUUAGCUAGUUGGUAAGGUAAAAGCUUACCAAGGCGAUGAUCAAUAGCCGGCCUGAGAGGGUGAACGGCCACACUGGAACUGAGACGGGGUCCAGACUCCUACGGGAGGCAGCAGUGGGGAAUAUCGCACAAUGGAGGAUAUCUCUGAUGCAGCAACGCCGCGUGAACGAAGAAGGCUUUCGAGUCGUAAAGUUCUGUUAUAGGGGAAGAAGAAGUGACGGUACCCUAUGAGAAAGCCACGGCUAAUUACGUGCCAGCAGCCGCGGUAAUACGUAAGUGGCAAGCGUUAUCCGGAAUUACUGGGCAUAAAGAGUUCGUAGGCGGUCAAUCAAGCCAAUAGUGAAAUCCAUCGGCCUAACCGAUGUAAGCUAAUGGAACUGAGUGACUUGAGUACAGGAGAGGAAAGUGGAAUUCCUAGUGUAGUAGUGAAAUGCGUACAUAUUAGGAAGAACAUCAGUAGCGAAGGCGACUUUCUGGUCUGUAACUGACGCUGAGGAACGACAGCGUGGGGAGCGAACA
rnacentral:rRNA from 1 species